rnacentral:rRNA from 1 species
UACGUAGGGUGCGAGCGUUAAUCGGAAUUACUGGGCGUAAAGCGUGCGCAGGCGGUUUUGUAAGCCAGAUGUGAAAUCCCCGGGCUUAACCUGGGAAUGGCAUUUGGGACUGCAAGGCUGGAGUGCGGCAGAGGAGACUGGAAUUCCCGGUGUAGCAGUGAAAUGCGUAGAUAUCGGGAGGAAUACCGAUGGCGAAGGCAGGUCUCUGGGCUGACACUGACGCUCAUGCACGAAAGCGCGGGGAGCAAACAGG